rnacentral:rRNA from 1 species
GACGAACGCUGGCGGCGCGCCUAACACAUGCAAGUCGAACGGUGAACGGGGCUUCGGCCCCGGGAUCAGUGGCGAACGGGUGCGUAACACGUGGGCAACCUGCCCCAGACCCUGGGAUAACCCCGGGAGACCGGAGCUAAUACCGGAUACUCCGGCCGAACCGCAUGGCCCGGCCGGGAAAGGUCCGCCGGUCUGGGAUGGGCCCGCGGCCUAUCAGCUCGUUGGCGGGGUAAUGGCCCACCAAGGCGACGACGGGUAGCUGGUCUGAGAGGACGACCAGCCACACUGGGACUGAGAUACGGCCCAGACUCCUACGGGAGGCAGCAGUGGGGAAUCUUGCACAAUGGGCGAAAGCCUGAUGCAGCGACGCCGCGUGAGGGAUGAAGGCCCUCGGGUUGUAAACCUCUUUCGGCAGGGACGAAGCGAUCGUGACGGUACCUGCGGAAGAAGCCUCGGCUAACUACGUGCCAGCAGCCGCGGUAACAC